CCUCCCGGAAGCAGGGGUGGAGAGUGUGGCUGUCCUGGGAGAGGGUCCGCGAGCCUCCAGCUCACCCAGGGCGAGGGGAGCACUUCAGUGAUUGCUGUGUGUCCAGGAGGUCUUGAGGACGGCUUUCAGAGCAGUAGGCCAUAGCUGGAUGCUGGGCAGAGGACUGGGCAGGACCUGGCUGCAAGAAGGCUGUUGGUGUGAAGCUGUGUGAGAUUCCUGUGGACCAUCACAUAGCGCAGGCUGCUCCAUCCCGGCCCAGGGGCUUCUGUGGCUGGGCUGGUGUCAUCUCAGUCACCAGGGGACAGAGCAAAGAUCCCCACUGCUGCAGUUCUGGAAGAGGAAGACGAGCACAACAGCAGGUUGCAAAGGCAGCUCGUUCUCGGCGGCGUCCACUGGGUGGCAGUGUUCACCCGCUCAGAGACGGGACCGGCCCUGGAACCCCGGAGCCGCGCUUACUUCCCUCGCCCGCCCCCGGCCAGCCUCCUCGGUUGCUUCGGCGGAAGAUCGUCGGGAGAUGACGUCAUCAUGUAAAUUGGCCAAUCUCCUGUGCACACA